GGAUAUCAGGUUGAAACACCGGUUCGUGUAUGAUCACCGAAGUUAAGCAACGUCAAGCCUCGUCAGUACUGAGAUGGGUGACCGCCCAGGAAUACCAAGUUCUGUAAU